GUCAUAAAAGCCUUUUGGUCUAAAAGCCUUUGGUCCUGUGGCAUUUCUGCCACACUGCCAGAAUCCCCCAGAGUCCCUGGGGCACCUGUGAUGAGGCAACUGAAUUACUUACAGAACUUGCUCUGAAUUGCCCUGUGGCAUUUUCGCAAAGCCAGGAUCAUAUCUGAGGGACUUUGGGGAAUUUUUAGCAUCAUCUUUCAUAGAGGAAGACAUCCACAGUUAGGGUGAAAAGCACAGUUCUUGAGCUUUUGGUGACAUUGGAGGUGAAGAUGAUGUGGGUGCCUUUAUGUCACAGUGACUAUACUCUGGGUGAAAAUCCCAUGCAAAGAUUUUAAUCUUCACUGACAUUUUAAUUUUAAAUAUGAAAUUAUAUAAAGGAGAACAAAAUUCUAUUCUUUGGACUGAGGAAAAAAUAUUGGUCUACAUGUACAUAGACCUGAGGAGAGAAAUUGGCUCUGAUGUGCCAUCCUGCCUGGCUGAGUAGAAAGAGAAAGCAGCCAUAUGACUCAUAAUUUCACUCAUCUGCUGCUAACCAGAUUUCCCUCUAACAUCACAGCGCAGAACAGCCUGUUAAAUGGAAGGGAAAUCCCUCCUUUGGCAUGAAUACCCUUUGCCAUUUAGGUCCUUUAUUUCAGUACCUUUCCCUGUAGGUUAGUCUCUCUAUAGGGCACAAAAGAAUGUUUUAAAGCUAUCAGCAACCUGAGGAGCCAUAUAGGGUUUGCUUCCAUGUGCCAGGGGACUUUUCCAGCCUCGAAUCUCUCAUGACACUGCUGCUAUGAGAGAAGGUAAAGCAGCACUAACUCUGCCGUGGUGGGACACAGAAAAAGUCACCAGUGGGCAUCUGUCCCUCUCCCUUGGACAGCCCAGCUUUGGAUUGCCUGAAUGUCUCACAGUGCUGCCUGUGCAAAGCUGAGGGGAGUGAAAAGCAGCAACUUAUUUUUGCCGACAAGUAGAUGCAUAAUCCCUGAAUGCACUAGGAAAGCUAUCCAUUGAGGAAGAAAGCAACAUGUUUGCAGACUCCACACCCCAUUAUCAGCUAAUCACCUUAAAACAACUCACUAAUCAUAAGUUAAUCUUCACAAGUUUCUGGCAAGUGGGGGAAAGACUUAUCCUGAUUUCACCCAUGGUAUAACUGAGGAAUAUAGAAGAUGUGGUGCUUGCUAAGUCCACAAAGAAAGUCUUGUGGAAAUGGGGAUGGAAUUCAAAUGAUUGGGCUUUCUGUCCACUUUGUUAAACAUAAAACAUCACUUCUGCCUUGAGUCAUGACUGUUAAUAAAUACUGUGAGGCUAAUGACCAAGUGAUUGUGAAUUAUAAUUAUAUUGUGAAAAAGAUAGAUAUCACUAAAAUAUUUGUCAACAGUUGUUUCAUUUCUCAAAAAGAAAAUAAUAAUAAAAAAAACCCCUACACCAAAACCCUCAGCAAUUCAUCAAGGGCUUGUGGCUGCUCUAUAUAGUUAUGUGACAUUAAUUUUAUUGUUACUGUCUUUAGGGUGUUUCUAAGUGCUUUUGACAGUGUAGGUUGUGCUCCCUUCUGAUCUGUGUUGACAUGACAGUUCUGGGGAGGAUUUCCUGUUGGGGUAAGUCAGAAUAGCUCCAGUUGGAAUAGCUUGAAUACACAGAUGUCAACGUGCAUGAUAUUUGGAUAUUUUCACCAUGUUUUCUUAUCCCAUGUUUUGUUUCCAGAUGCCAACUAUUGAUGUUAGAUUUCUAGACAAUCUUUUUGAAAGCAGUUUAAUUGCUCUAUUUUCCUUGAGAGUAUUUUAAAAGA